UAGUUUCAGCAGAAUUGAUGAGGAGGUCCGGGACUCUACGAUUCGUAGAGUCCCGGACCUCCUCAUCAAUUCUGCUGAAAACA
rnacentral:pre_miRNA from 1 species